AGGGAAUCUUCCACAAUGGACGCAAGUCUGAUGGAGCAACGCCGCGUGAGUGAAGAAGGUUUUCGGACCGUAAAGCUCUGUUGUUGGUGAAGAAGGAUAGAGGUAGUAACUGGCCCUUUAUUUGACGGUAAUCAACCAGAAAGUCAUGGCUAACUACGUGCCAGCAGCCGCGGUAAUACGUAGGUGGCAAGCGUUGUCCGGAUUUAUUGGGCGUAAAGCGAGCGCAGGCGGAAGAAUAAGUCUGAUGUGAAAGCCCUCGGCUUAACCGAGGAAUUGCAUCGGAAACUGUUUUUCUUGAGUGCAGAAGAGGAGAGUAGAACUCCAUGUGUAGCGGUGGAAUGCGUAGAUAUAUGGAAGAAUACCAGUGGCGAAGGCGGCUCUCUGGUCUGCAACUGACGCUGAGGCUCGAAAGCAUGGGUAGCGAACAGGAUUAGAUACCCUGGUAGUCCAUGCCGUAAACGAUGAGUGC
rnacentral:rRNA from 1 species